rnacentral:lncRNA from 1 species
GGCCUUUGAUUUCAGUUUGCCUCUUAUAUUUUUUUUCUAAGUUCCUCUUUUCCGUGGUUAUGUUCUGAUAUGUUGUAGCAUGUUAAUUUUUUUGGUCAAGUACUUCCCCGGUUCCUAAAUAUAGGACGUUUUGGCAGCUGUGCAUGGCGAUGGCCUCACGGAGGCAUACCGGUGGUGGAGGGCUUCUUAUCUCUUAAUUAGGUCGUCACAGAUGUGCGUGAACAAUGACCCUACAAGCAAUGGCAUGUCUUUGUGUAAGCCAUGAAGCUCCUAAGUUUCCAUGAUCCAGGUGUAGUUGUCAUCUUUCUGAUGUGUUGUGCAUAAGCAUAAGUAGUAGAUUUAAUUUAUAUUCAUGAAUGUAACUCAUAUCUAGACAGAUUUACCUUGAACAUGCUUAAAGUAUAUAGUCAGCUUGUAUGAAUGUCGCAUAUCAUGUGUUUUAUAAUCAUUUAUAGAACUCUUUGUAAUGCUUUGAAUAAUAAUUUGCUAAACAAUAUCUAGAAAAGAUAGCUUGAAGGAGCAUGUGUAAUUACUUCCAUAUAUUAUUUUAGAGUAUCUGAAUCCAUAUAUGAUUCAUUAUUGGUAUCCAAUGUUUCGCUUGUAAGCUACUUGGAAGUAUCACUAUUCAAUUAUCUUGGGCGAGGUUACUAAAUGGAGCACCAUUUAUAGCCACUGGAGUUGGAGUUGGUUUGUACAAAACGAGAAUUUAUUAUGUCUGUUCAUAAGUAUUUCUACUGAAAAUGCAAUCUCUAAGAACUCCAUAUGCUGCUCAUACCAUGUCAUAACUAGAUUUGAAAUUCUGAAGAAUCCCAUAUUCAUGCAAAUAGGUAUUCUUUGUCACGAAAUACACAAGUGGGACAGUUAAAUAGUUAAUUAUGAUGCUUUUUUUCAUUAGAUGAUUCAUUUUAGAAUUAAUUUACUACUGAAUUUUCAAUGGACCCACACUACACAACACACACACACACACACACACACACACACACACACACACACACACACACAUAACAAAAAAAAUCAUGUUUCUGAACUGAACUAUCAUUCUUUGGCGGAACUCAUUUUCUGAACUGUAUCAUAUGGAGUCUGUAUUCUGAACAAACAUGUGAAGUUCCAUUGUUCUUCGUAAUAAUUUAGCUGCCAAGCAUUUGUUAAAAAGGGACUGUUUCUUCCCUUUGUACUUGGCUGAAAUAUUGUUUUAUUAGGAAAAUUCUGCAUAUUUAGUAUAUUUGGAGUCAUUUGUUUGCAGAUUGGUGCCGUUCUUGCGAGAACACAAUUGACAUGUCGUGCGGAGUAGGAGAUUUUUCACUGGUUAUUAUACAUGCGUGAGACCUCAGAAGUUACAGGGGAAUCAGUGACGCCACAUUCAAGAUCAGAAUUAGUUUUUUUAGGGAAUGAUAAGAGAGUUAGUGAGAAUGAGGUAACAUGCUUUUCUUAGAUUUGUUCAGAAUGACGGGGCUGCGGUUUUGGGAGCUUGGCUGUAUGGACCUGAUUGUAAAACUAUCUACUCCUACCAAUAGAUAUGACAUUGCUCAUGUCAACUUUUCAAAAAUAAUAUGCUUGUUUGCGAUGGAAUAU